UACGUAGGGAGCAAGCGUUGUCCGGAAUCAUUGGGCGUAAAGCGCGCGUAGGUGGCCUCAUAAGUCCGCUGUGAAAGUCAAAGGCUCAACCUUUGAAAGCCGGUGGAUACUGUGAGGCUAGAGUACGGAAGAGGCGAGUGGAAUUCCCGGUGUAGCGGUGAAAUGCGCAGAUAUCGGGAGGAACACCUAUGGCGAAGGCAGCUCGCUGGGACGUUACUGACGCUGAGGCACGAAGGCCAGGGGAGCAAACGGG
rnacentral:rRNA from 1 species